AUGGCCUCCUCCUGUCUUCUGUGUUUUGGUCAUAUUCAAGCAUAUUUUGAUAUUUUGUAUGUUGGUCUUCAGGCUUACUCAUUCAACCUGUACCUGACUUCUUUAUUGGAGACUUUUGGAAGCUGCUCUGAAAAUGCCUUUUUGCUCCAAGCCACAAUAGCCUCUGAGUGAUUUUAACUGUUCGACACCAUGAAGAAAGGGAGCAGUCUUCAUAAUGUUUUGAAUGAAGUCCGCCAAAACCUACAAACAAUAUUUUACAAUAAGAACUGAAAGGGGCAAAAUUUUAGUGCAGUCCUGCUUAUAUAUAUCGAUGUAAGUAUCUAACUAAAAUAUUAGCAAUUAGAAUUUAAGAAUACAUGAAAAAUCUUACAAAUCCAUAGUCGACAAAAACUCAUUCCAAGGAUGUUAGUUUAUUUAUUAUUAGGCAAUCUGUCACUACAAAUGACUAUUAUUAUAAUGAGUGAAGGAAAUACGAUUGCUAAGGUCUGAAUAUUGGUGUCCUUCUAGAAUUCAUACGUUGGCACCUAAUAUCCAGUGUGAUAGAAUUAAAAGGUGGAGCCAUUUAAUCACUUUUAAAAGAAGUGGUUAAGUUGUAAACCAAAAAUAGAAUACUAAGGCCCCAACCAACUGAAUGGACUCCUUCUUGGCUAAAGGAACUCCAAAGAAACCUGAAAAACUGAAUUCCCAGCCAUGAUGGUGAGAAGGGAAGUCAGACACGUCUUGUUAUAUCCUCUCCCUUUUGGAGUUUAGCAUUAAGGUUAAAAUGGAAAGCAUAUUAAAACUAACAAAACAGACUCUUUGUGGCAAAAAAUAGCAAAUUAUAAAAAAGACUUAAGGCGAUGCAAGGCCAGGGUUAAAAUCAUACCCUACAAACCAUAAAACUGUGUUUUUUGUUUGUUUUAAAUUAACCUACUAUAACAUAAAGUUUACUUUCCAACCUGACUCCGUUAUAGCAUCACAUGAUAGAUAUAGUAGACCUUGAAGGAAAAAAAAUAUUUUACCCCAAAAUAUAUUUAUUUGAUAUAUUUUUAAAUGACCCUACAAAGCCAUCUUGUGGGGGUAAUUUGCAUCUAUAGAGAACCUCUAUUAAUAUGACCAGGCCUUUCCUUUCCAGGCCUUUCAGAGAUCUAGAACACAUUAACUGAGAGUCUGACACAUUUACAAGUCUGAAAAGAGACGUUUUCUACUUAUUCUCUCUGAAGGCUAUCACCUAUGAGGCUUCAUCUACAUAUUGAGGGCCUUGGCCCCUAAAAUCCCCUUGUCUUAACUCAAGCAUUCCUUUCUACUGACUUCAUGUCUUUAAACAACAGCCACUCUCAACCAGUUGUGAACAAAAGAAUCCCUAAAAUCCACCUAUGACUUGUAAGCCCCCAUUUUGAUAAGUCCUGGAUUUUCAGGCUGAACUCAUAUAUACCUUCUAUGUAUUGAUUUAUGUUUUGGCUGUAACUCCUGUCUCCUCAAAAUGUAUAAAAUCCAACUAACCUGACUACCUUGUCAUCAUUUACUCAACGGUUCUUAGAUCUGUGUUUACUCCAGGCUAUGGUCACUAUUAUUGUCUCAGAAUAAACCUCUUUAAAAUAUUUUAAAGCUUUUUUUG
rnacentral:lncRNA from 13 species